rnacentral:lncRNA from 1 species
UGUCAACUAUUUAUACCCCCGCUUUAAAAAAGGGGGGGUAUACUGUUUUACCUCUGUCUGUCAGUCCGUCCGUCCGUCCAUCAGUCCGUCCGUCCGUCCCAUGAAACUUUCGUCACAUUUUUCUCAGGAACUACACAUCCACCCUUUCUGUAAUUUGUUAUCAACAUUUAUAUAUGUCAGCCACACCGUGUGAUGCGUUUUCAGAUUCAUCACUUGACAACUUCCUGUUUACCGAACACUUGUCUGAUUUUACACAUGAUAGCCAAGUUGAAAAUUUUCGUCACAUUUUUCUCAGGAACUACAAUACAAGGAUUUCUGAAAUUUGGUUUCAGGAUUUAUAUUAGUCAGCUAUACCGUGUGAUGCGUUUUAAGAUUCAUCACUCGACAACUUCCUGUUUACCGAACACUUGUAUGAUUUUACACAUGAUAGCCAAGUUGAAAAUUUUCGUCACAUUUUUCUCAGGAACUACAAUACAAGGAUUUCUGAAAUUUGGUUUCAGGAUUUAUAUAAGUCAGCUAUACCGUGUGAUGCGUUUUCAGAUUCAUCACUCGACUACUUCCUGUUUACCAAACACUUGUAUGAUUUUACACAUGAUAACCAAGUUAAAAAUUUUCGUCACAUUUUUCUCAGGAACUACAAUACAAGGAUUUCUGAAAUUUGGUUUCAGGAUUUUUAUAAGUCAGCUAUACCGUGUGAUGCGUUUUCAGAUUCAUCACUCGACAACUUCCUGUUUACCGAACACUUGCAUAUUUUUACACUAUUAAUAUUAUCCACUUGCGGCGGGGGUAUCAUCAGUGAGCAGUAGCUCGCAGUUUCACUUGUUAAUUUUAGAUUU